rnacentral:rRNA from 1 species
GACGAACGCUGGCGGCGUGCUUAACACAUGCAAGUCGAACGGAAAGGCCCUGCUUUUGUGGGGUGCUCGAGUGGCGAACGGGUGAGUAACACGUGAGUAACCUGCCCUUGACUUUGGGAUAACUUCAGGAAACUGGGGCUAAUACCGGAUAGGAGCUCCUGCUGCAUGGUGGGGGUUGGAAAGUUUCGGCGGUUGGGGAUGGACUCGCGGCUUAUCAGCUUGUUGGUGGGGUAGUGGCUUACCAAGGCUUUGACGGGUAGCCGGCCUGAGAGGGUGACCGGGCACAUUGGGACUGAGAUACGCCGCAGACUCCUAUGGGAGGCAGCAGUGGGGAAUAUUGCGCAAUGGGGGGGAGCCUGAGAUGGAAACGCCCCGUGCGGGAUGACGGGCUUUGGGUUGUAAACCGCUUUCUCCGGUGACGAAGCGUGAGUGACGGUAAUGGGUAAAGAAGCACCGGCUAACUACGUG